UACGUAGGGGGGCAAGCGUUGUCCGGAUUUAUUGGGCGUAAAGAGCGUGUAGGCGGCCAGGUAGGUCGGUUGUGAAAACUGGAGGCUCAACCUUCAGAGGUCGACCGAAACCAUCUGGCUAGAGUCCGGGAGAGGAGGGUGGAAUUCCUGGUGUAGCGGUGAAAUGCGCAGAGUAUCAGGAAGAACACCCGUGGCGAAAGCGGCUCUCUGGAACGGUACUGACGCUGAGACGCGAAAGCGUGGGGAGCGAACAGG
rnacentral:rRNA from 1 species